UACGUAGGGUGCGAGCGUUAAUCGGAAUUACUGGGCGUAAAGGGUGCGCAGGCGGUCUUGUAAGUCAGAUGUGAAAUCCCCGGGCUACCUACGGUGGAACUGCGUUUGAAACUACAAGACUAGAGUGUAGCAGAGGGGGGUGGAAUUCCACGUGUAGCAGUGAAAUGCGUAGAGAUGUGGAAGAACACCGAUGGCGAAGG
rnacentral:rRNA from 2 species